GGGGAUCCAGGUGGGUGAAACCCCAGCACCUGCACCGAGCCCCAUCCCCCUCAGACCAGGCUUUAGGAAUCUGUGUCUCGGGCCAGACAGCUUCUAUGAGCCCUUCCACCCAAGACCCUUGACUCUCACCCAGGCUCCUACUGAGGUGGCAGGGCCAAGAGACUCUUGAUGAGAUCAAGGGAUGGGGCACUGGGUGUGAGGGGCUAGACGGCCCCUUGCUGUGAUCCCUUUUACACACUGCAGACUGCUCGAGGAGGCAGAAGCCUAAUGGGCAGCCUCCACCCCUCCCAGCCCCACCCCCAGGGUUCUCACACCAGCCCCAGCCCCACCCCCACUCCUGGGUUGCCCAGGGGCCCAGCAGCAGCACAAGCCAGCUUCCUCCCCUCCGGCCUCAGUCCUCUUACCUCUUCAGGCUCGUCCAAGAUCGACAUCCAUCCCUUCUUGAAGUUGAGCAGAUCGGGCUGUGGGGAGAUGAGGAGGGAGAGAUGGGGUCUCCCUAUGUUUCCCAGGUUGGUUUCAAACUCCUGAGCUCAAGUGAUCCGCUCACCUCGGCCUCCAAAAAUGCUGGGAUUAUAGGUGUGAGCCAAUGUGCCCGGCCAACCAAUUCCAUCUCCACCUGACAAGGCCCUAUAAUCACAGGAGGACACCUCCCUCAGGAAGGCUGCUGCCACCAGCAGGGAUGUGCUGUCCAUCUUCCAAGCACCCCACACGCUGCUUCCGGCAGCCUUACCCUUGCUCAGCACGUGCUGCCCCCAGGACAGGCAACUGUGAAAGAAAGCUGGAACGGACCUGGAUACAAAUUCUGGCUUAGCCUGGGACUCACUGAGUUACCUGGGGCAUGACACUUCACCUCGCCACACCUUGGUUUCCUCAUCUGUUUGAUUAAGAUGUUACUACCAACCUUCAAGGAUCAAAUCUGGUAACGUGAAAGCACCCGGCUGAGGGCCGGGCAGGCACCCGGUGGGCAAGGCAACCUCUCUCCUCCUGGCCCCAGGACACUGACUCAGCUCCUCCCCCCACAUCCCUUCUACUCCUGACAGAAAAGGGGAGGCUGCUGACGACAGGAAGGGCCAGCAGGGAGGUGGCAGGAUGUCCAGGAGGACGCCGAGGAAGUCCAGACCAUCACACUCACAGGGCAGGGGCUAGGCGUGCCACGCCCCCCAGCAGCCCAGCCCACUCCUCCGCAGGGUCUCCACGCCCCUGAAAGAGGCCUACUGCCGCCUGUGCACACACACACCCUGCUCAUCCUCCCCCAGCAGGGCCACUGGGCUGUCAGAGCCUCCUUGAAGCACUAGCCAGAAACCAAAAGCAGCCCCACCCCUCCCUUCCUGAACAUCACGGUCAGUGGGCCAGAAGGACAGGGAAAGGAGCUACUCCUUCCCUUAUACUUGGGGUGACCUCGGGCAACUCACCAGCGCCCCUCCCCAAGCCUCAGUUUAUCUGGCUGUGAAGUGGGGAGUCCAGCGAACCCAGCUGUGAGGCUCAAUAUGCUAACUAUGGCACAG